CGCUGGCGGCGUGCUUAACACAUGCAAGUCGAACGGAAUUACGCUUAACACCGAUUCUUUUAUAGAAGGUGCAAUGCGAAGACGUGAUGCGGUGAAUGAACGAAGUGAAUUCACCACGCAUUAAAAAGUGCAAACACCAAGAGGAAUGGGUGUUGAGCGUAAUUUAGUGGCGAACGGGUGAGUAACGCGUAGACAACCUACCUUUUAGAUGGGGACAACAUCGCGAAAGCGGUGCUAAUACCGAAUGUUGAUAAUGAAAUGCAUGUUUCGUUAUUUAAAGAUGGCCUCUAUAUAUAAGCUAUCGCUAAAAGAUGGGUCUGCGUCUGAUUAGCUAGUUGGUGAGAUAACAGCCCACCAAGGCAACGAUCAGUAGCCGGUCUGAGAGGAUGAACGGCCACAUUGGGACUGAGACACGGCCCAAACUCCUACGGGAGGCAGCAGUGGGGAAUCUUCCGCAAUGGACGAAAGUCUGACGGAGCAACGCCGCGUGAGUGAAGAAGGUUUUAGGAUCGUAAAGCUCUGUUGUUUAGGACGAAUGUGCCUUAUGCGAAUAGUAUGAGGUAAUGACGGUACUAAACGAGAAAGCCACGGCUAACUACGUGCCAGCAGCCGCGGUAAUACGUAGGUGGCAAGCGUUGUCCGGAAUUAUCGGGCGUAAAGGGAGCGCAGGUGGGAAAAAUAAGUCUGUUUUAAAAGUGCGGGGCUCAACCCCGUGAUGGAAUGGAAACUG
rnacentral:rRNA from 1 species